CAGCCCCUGUUCGAGUGGGGUUCCUUGCUGGUGUACUACUCAGCCUUUCCCUCGUCUUGCAGGCGAAAGAAAGAGAUGUGGAAGCAUUCUUGUCUCCUUUCUAACCCGCCGUUAUUUUUUCUUUCCACCAUGGCCUUCCUUUGCGGGCCUGACCUGAACUAGAAAAGUAACCUCCAGUUUGACCGAUGAGUUUCCGCUGCUGCCUGCAUACAUCUCUGUCCUUAAGGCUGAGGUAGUAGAUUGAAUAGUUGUGGGGUUUGUGUCCUCCCUCUGAGAUAACUAUGCAAUCUACUGUCUUUCCUAAGGAGACAGGCUGAGCUGCUGCGAUGCACAUGAGGAGCUCCAUGGAAGAAGGAACUCAACGACCAAGUAUUCAACUCUGCUUUGUCUGCAAUCUCUUCAGGGGAAAACUUUAUUUUAAAGCUGCAGUUCUGGAACAUGUUCUGAAUUAAUCAUGUAUUGAGUGAGAACUCGUGUUUAAAGAGGCUGUGCUUGAAGUUGAGCCUAGCAAGGUGAGGUAGUAGGUUGUAUAGUUUGUGGGAUGGAGUCAAUCCUACUCAGGCGUUAACUAUACAGUCUAUUACCUUCCUUGAGAGGUACAAUGAGUGCUUGGGCGGAAGCGACUGCUCUUAUGGCGAAGGAGCCACUCUGGUGCCAUCUUGUGGCUAAAGACUAUCAUCACCCUGGAAAUGAUCCGAGCUUUGUCUCUGUUGAGUGUACGAGGAGAUGUUUUCUGAAAUCAACCUGAGGAUGAAAGUAUCUCUAACUCCUUUUGGUCUAGGAGUAAUUCAUUAAGCAUUUCAGCACUAGAAGUAGAUCCUGAGAGAUGUAAGAAGACCAGAAGACACAAAUACCGGCUCACGAUCUGUAAACUUUUUCCGAAAACAGAACAAUAAAGAACACAUUUAAUGGCUGUUUCGAUUUUCUCAACAAUAAAUCAAAAUAAUAUCCAAUAACUACGGAGUCGACUGAUGGAAUAAAGUCUACAUGGUUGA